GGUGCCUGCGGAGGGAUCAUUACACAAAUACAAUAUGAAGGCUUCGGCUGGAUUAUUUAUUUCACCCUUGUCUUUUGCGCACUUGUUGUUUCCUGGGCGGGUUCGCCCGCCACCAGGACCACACCAUAAACCUUUUUUGUUAAUGCAGUCAGCGUCAGUACAACAAAUGUAAAUCAUUUACAACUUUCAACAACGGAUCUCUUGGUUCUGGCAUCGAUGAAGAACGCAGCGAAAUGCGAUACGUAGUGUGAAUUGCAGAAUUCAGUGAAUCAUCGAAUCUUUGAACGCACAUUGCGCCCUUUGGUAUUCCAAAGGGCAUGCCUGUUCGAGCGUCAUUUGUACCCUCAAGCUUUGCUUGGUGUUGGGCGUUUUGUCUUUGCUCGCCAAAGACUCGCCUUAAAACGAUUGGCAGCCGACCUCUUGGUUUCGCAGCGCAGCACAAUUUUGCGCUUGCAAAUCAGCAAGUUGGCACUCCAUCAAGAACAUUUUCUUACGUUUGACCUCGGAUCAGGUAGGGAUACCCGCUGAACUUAAGCAUA
rnacentral:rRNA from 1 species